rnacentral:rRNA from 1 species
CCUACGGGAGUCAGCAGUGAGGAAUAUUGGUCAAUGGACGAGAGUCUGAACCAGCCAAGUAGCGUGAAGGAUGACUGCCCUGUGGGUUGUAAACUUCUUUUAUCUGGGAAUAAAAUGUUCCACGUGUGGGAUUUUGUAUGUACCAUAUGAAUAAGGAUCGGCUAACUCCGUGCCAGCAGCCGCGGUAAUACGGAGGAUCCGAGCGUUAUCCGGAUUUAUUGGGUUUAAAGGGAGCGUAGGUGGUUUGUUAAGUCAGUUGUGAAAGUUUGCGGCUCAACCGUAAAAUUGCAGUUGAAACUGGCAGUCUUGAGUACAGUAGAGGUGGGCGGAAUGCGUGGUGUAGCGGUGAAAUGCUUAGAUAUCACGAAGAACUCCGAUUGCGAAGGCAGCUCGCUGGACUGCAACUGACACUGAGGCUCGAAAGUGUGGGUAUCAAACAGGAUUAGAUACCCGUGUAGUC